rnacentral:tRNA from 1 species
GGAUCGGUGGCCGAGUGGUCGAAGGCGCACGCCUGGAAAGUGUGUAGGGGUUAACGCUCCUCGAGGGUUCGAAUCCCUCUCGAUCCG